rnacentral:lncRNA from 1 species
CACUAGCGCUCUGCGCGCGCCGCAGGCUGUAGCCGGCCGGGGUCGCAGCACGCCUCCCCGCUCCGCCCCCUCGCGCGCCGCCCGGCGCCCCGCGCACGCGCGCCGCCCCCUGCUCCUUCAGCGAGGGUCUGCGGGGAGCGCGCGUCCAACGCAGGUAAUGAUGAAACUCCUGCUCUGGUCCGGGCUACCGGUGAACAGCGCCCAGCGGGCCGGGCCCCCAACCUCGCUCCUGAGCCUGAACAUCCCCCCAACCCCACCGUGAGAAUUCAGCGAAGAGUAAAAGCUGGAAAAAGUUGCGUGUCUUAGGCUAAGCAGAACAAAGUGGGGUGACGGCUCCCCGGCUAGGAACAGAGAUGCCCUUAGGGAGCCCUCUGAUGGAAGAGCUCUCCGCUUAAGAAGGUCACCACUCCCUUACACUCAGGAGAUGUUGCUGAGAUGGGUGCAUUAAAGUUUAGGCUUUCCAGAGUUUAUAUUGCUAACAACUUGAAAGGAAAAAAGCUAACUAGAGAACUGACUGGUCUUAUUUGUUUUAGAUUCUGGGCUUUACUAAGACUUCCUACUCUCAGAAUCUCUGGACUAUAAACGCUGGGUGGGGUGGGAGCUGGGAAUGUUAUUCUGGAAAAUUAAUCACAAAUGAAAAGAAAAUCAACUCUAAGACUCCAGUUAGAAGAUUUUUGAAAAUGGCAGAACAUGACUGGCCUUCAUUCAAGUCAGAAUAUUUAAAGCAAUCCUUGCUAAGAAGAACUUGAUUUUGUAUAAGCAGUCCCUUAAAUACAGUUGCUUCUCAAGAAAACCACACACAAUUGAUGUUUGAAUGGCUUUAUUUACAAACAUCUCACUCCGUAAGCCUCUGCAGGUAUUUCUAGCCUCCCAGGGGCCACUGUCCCGUUUCACCUGUAAUUUGGAUCACAAUUCUGUUUGUUGUCACACACAUCAUAUGAACUGCUUUUCAUGCUGCUUUUAUCCACAAAGCUUUACAAGCUUUAAUGGCAGCUCUAUGUAUGACAACUUUAUAAAGAUCUGCCAAAAGGU